GCAACGGUGAAACUCAAAGGAAUUGACGGGGCCCGCACAAGCGGUGGAGCAUGUGGUUUAAUUCGAUGAUACGCGAGGAACCUUACCAGGGCUUAAAUGUAGUUUGACCGGUCUGGAAACAGACUUUCUCUUCGGAGCAGAUUACAAGGUGCUGCAUGGUUGUCGUCAGCUCGUGCCGUGAGGUGUUAGGUUAAGUCCUGCAACGAGCGCAACCCCUAUUCUUAGUUGCCAGCGGUUCGGCCGGGGACUCUAAGAAGACUGCCAGCGCAAGCUGAGAGGAAGGUGGGGAUGACGUCAAAUCAUCACGGCCCUUACGUCCUGGGCUACACACGUGCUACAAUGGUAGAGACAGAGGGCAGCCACCUGGUGACAGGGAGCGAAUCCUUAAACUCUAUCUCAGUUCGGAUCGAAGUCUGCAACUCGACUUCGUGAAGCUGGAAUCGCUAGUAAUCGCGCAUCAGCCAUGGCGCGGUGAAUACGUUCCCGGGCCUUGUACACACCGCCCGUCAAGCCAUGGAGCUGGGGGUACCUGAAGUCGGUAACCGUAAGGAGCUGCCUAGGGUAAAACUAGUAACUAGGGCU
rnacentral:rRNA from 1 species